GACGAACGCUGGCGGCGUGCUUAACACAUGCAAGUCGAACGGAAAGGCCCUGCUUUUGUGGGGUGCUCGAGUGGCGAACGGGUGAGUAACACGUGAGUAACCUGCCCUUGACUUUGGGAUAACUUCAGGAAACUGGGGCUAAUACCGGAUAGGAGCUCCUGCUGCAUGGUGGGGGUUGGAAAGUUUCGGCGGUUGGGGAUGGACUCGCGGCUUAUCAGCUUGUUGGUGGGGUAGUGGCUUACCCAGGCUUUGACGGGUAGCCGGCCUGAGAGGGUGACCGGCCACAUUGGGACUGAGGUACGGCCAAGACUGCUACGGGAGGCAGCAGUGGGGAAUAUUGCACGAUGGGCGGAAGCCUGAUGCAGCAACGCCGCGUGCGGGAUGACGGCCGUAGGGUUGUAAACCGCUUUCGACUGUGACGAAGCGUGAGUGACGGUAAUGGGUAAAGAAGCACCGGCUAACUACGUG
rnacentral:rRNA from 1 species